AGUGUCGCUUUUCGAGGUCUGGCAACGCUGUUUUUAUGACUGUGUCUGUUUACGUGCAUUUUCUUUAUAAAAAUAUGCACCAAAAAGUUGUGAGUUGAGAGAAUUCGUUUCGAAUUAAGUAUCUCAUAGUUAGUAAUAAUAAAGAUAUCUCAUAGAAAAUGGAUAUUUUCGACGAGGACGACGACAACCAUGACUGCUCUAUGGCUAUGGAGAGCUCAAUAUUAGAUAUGCAAAAUAAACUGGCAAAGCGGAUGGUUGAAAUGCAAAAUACAAUGAAUAAACAAUUUAAGGAGUUGAACCGCAGUCUGAACCUGGCAAAUCGUCAUAUUGAAGCUUUGAAUGAUAAAAAAAAAACAAAGGAGCUAAAAUGCAAUUUUCCUUGUAAAACCGAAGAAGAAUUGGCAGAAAUAGACAAGAAAAUUGCCGCGUCACCAGCAGCCUAUAUGGCAAUGAUUUUUUUUGAAUUCAGUUACCUAUUUUUGAGGGAAAACUAAUGCCGGAAGGAAUCGUCAAAAAUCUUGAAAAGAUAAUAUCUCGAGAUCUUGCUUUACAAAUUAAUUUUCGCGGAACCGCCAAGAUGAAGCCGUUCGAUAAAUACAUUCACCUAAAUAAAGUAAUGUAUGAGGCUACGACUACAAUCGAUCGAAAUUUCAGUGAUUACCAGAGGAACAUGCGCACUGCAUUUGCAAAGAUCAAAAAUCGUGCGUAUAAAUCGAAUUCGAUUAAAAGACAAAAUCUAAAAAAGGCAAAAGCGUCAAUAAAAAAUGAAUCUGACAAUUAAACUAUGUGUUUAAAAUAUUUCAAUAAUGGCCAAGAAAUAUCAUUAAGAAAGCUAGUGUCGAGAUAUACAAGUAAUUA